UACAGAGGGGGCAAGCGUUGUUCGGAAUUACUGGGCGUAAAGGGCGCGUAGGCGGCCGCCUAAGUCAGACGUGAAAUCCCUCGGCUUAACCGGGGAACUGCGUCUGAUACUGGAUGGCUUGAGUUUGGGAGAGGGAUGCGGAAUUCCAGGUGUAGCGGUGAAAUGCGUAGAUAUCUGGAGGAACACCGGUGGCGAAGGCGGCAUCCUGGACCAACACUGACGCUGAGUGAGCGAAAGCCAGGGGAGCAAACGGG
rnacentral:rRNA from 1 species